CUCGAGCACCCCUCCUCUUCCUCUUCACCCAGAGACCGACAUCUAUCACUAGGAGUCUAUGAAAAGUCGAAAGGGACUCCCCCGGAAUAACCUUGAAGUCCUUGCACAUACCCCUAUCGCUCCUUCUAAGGAGGAGGUAAUCAAUCUGAGUCCCCGCCGCCGAACUCUUGAAGGUGGCCAAAUGCUCCUCCCUCUUCUGAAAUGCCGAGUUCGCAAUCAAAAGCUCGGAAGCCCUGGCGAAAUCAAGUAGUGACGUGCCUCCUCUGUUCCUAACCUCAAAACCGAAGCCACCGUGCACCUCACCAUAACCACCAGCAUCAGCCGCAAUAUGACCAUUAAAGUCCCCUCCAAUAACUAACUUCUCAGAUUGGGGAAUACUACUCACCAGAUCAAAGGUGGCCAAAUGCUCCUCCCUCUUCUGAAAUGCCGAGUUCGCAAUCAAAAGCUCGGAAGCCCUGGCGAAAUCAAGCAGUAACGUGCCUCCUCUGUUCCUUACCCCAAAGCCGAAGUCACCGUGCACCUCACCAUAACCACCAGCAUUAACCCCAAUAUGACCAUUAAAGUCCCCUCCAAUAACUAACUUCUCAGAUUGGGGAAUACUACACACCAUAUCAUCCAAAUCCUCCCAAAAGCGCCUCUUAACCUCCUCGUCUAAGCCCGAUUGCGGCGCGUAAGCGCUGAUGACGUUGAGGACGCAACCCCCAAUAACCAACUUAAUUGACAUUAACCUAUCAUUCCCUCGCCUAACCUCGACCACGGACUCCCUUAGAUCCCUAUCAACAAAUAUGCCCACUCCAUUCUUACCUUUCACUACCCCAGAAUACCACAACUUAAACCUGUCUGUAUUCCUCGCCUUCAACCCUUUCCACCUAAUCUCGUGGACACAGGCUAUGUUAACCCUCCUCUUCUGAAGAACCUUCGCCAACUCAAUGGACU
rnacentral:lncRNA from 1 species